rnacentral:lncRNA from 1 species
AUGCCCCGGUACCGGUCCGAACAGGACGUUCAACACAAACACUUCUGUCUAAACUGCGUCCUAUAUACAGACUGCAUCUCAACUCGAACCCUGUAUGUCCCACAUCCAAACACACACGCGCGCGCACAUGCACUACAACCUGCCCACACAACGGUACCGGUUCGGCAGGUGGAAGCUGAGCAAAGGAGAGCCUCGGUUCCGGCCCGACUUCACGGUCCCUGGCUGCAGCAGGAAGCAGAAAUGCUGUUGGUGCUGAUGAGAGUCCAUCCUGCAGCCAUGAAGCCCCGAGAUGAACUAACGCUCGUGCGUCUGCUGCAUUGCUGCUGCUUCUUCUUAAAGCGACAGCGGGGACAGAUGAUCUGCAGGGACAGAGACAGACAGCGGGGACAGAUGAUCUGCAGGGACAGAGACAGACAGCGGGGACAGAUGAUCUGCAGGGACAGAGUCAGACAGCGGGGACAGAUGAUCUGCAGGGACAGAGUCAGACAGCGGGGACAGAUGAUCUGCAGGGACAGAGUCAGACAGCGGGGACAGAUGAUCUGCAGGGACAGAGUCAGACAGCGGGGACAGAUGAUCUGCAGGGACAGAGUCAGACAGCGGGGACAGAUGAUCUGCAGGGACAGAGUCAGACAGCGGGGACAGAUGAUCUGCAGGGACAGAGUCAGACAGCGGGGACAGAUGAUCUGCAGGGACAGAGUCAGACAGCGGGGACAGAUGAUCUGCAGGGACAGAGUCAGACAGCGGGGACAGAUGAUCUGCAGGGACAGAGUCAGACAGCGGGGACAGAUGAUCUGCAGGGACAGAGUCAGACAGCGGGGACAGAUGAUCUGCAGGGACAGAGUCAGACAGCGGGGACAGAUGAUCUGCAGGGACAGAGUCAGACAGCGGGGACAGAUGAUCUGCAGGGACAGAGUCAGACAGCGGGGACAGAUGAUCUGCAGGGACAGAGUCAGACAGCGGGGACAGAUGAUCUGCAGGGACAGAGUCAGACAGCGGGGACAGAUGAUCUGCAGGGACAGAGUCAGACAGCGGGGACAGAUGAUCUGCAGGGACUGA